UACGGUGGCUGCAGCUUGUGAAUCUUGAGAGGACCCUCCCAUAUGUCCUGCCAGGAAUAAUAAAUAUAUGAACUGUUUUUGUUGGUGAAACUGGUGGAUUUUUUGGGUGACGAAUUGGACACAUCCUGAUGUAAAUCAUAGCUUUUUUUUCGUGAAGUGAACACCGCAUUUUCCACGUCCCCGCACGGGUUUCUCGGUGUAUCCUUUUCAGCCACGCGCACUAUUUGCCAGCCUAAUCUUCAUUGAGUGUGCGGAGUGAUCCGCGUGUGUGAGGAGGCUUUGCUUGUCAGUCAGACUUUGAACUGAGCACUGGCGCUCAUCGCUGUUUAUCUGUGACCGCUGCUUGUCAUCAAAUACGCUCUCGCUGACACUUAUCAACGAGCGCCUCAGACACCUAGAUUAGGAUGAACAGUUGCUGAGCGGAGUCUCGAGGAGAGCACCGUUCCAGGGGCCGAGCUGAGAUUAAGCCGUUAGCAACGACGCUUCACGUACACCUUACUACUCGGGAGUACUUGAGAUGGUCCAGACCAGGGAUGUUUUUUUAGCCUUGCUCUUAGUGGGCUGUACAGAAGUGCACAUCUCUACCAGGCAAUAUCAUCUAAACCUGAACAGAGGACUUAAUUUAAUUUAUGAAAUUGUCACAACCAACCCACUGGACAAGAAACAUAGCUGGAGCAUUCUCUCUGAGGCAGACCUUGUUGGAUUUCCACGGUUAACUCUUUUAGUAGCAGGUUGCUGGUGAUGGAUGAGAGUUAUUCUAAAUGGCUGUAGGGUUCACAGAUAUUAAUGGGUUUGAUAGCAUCUACCUUGGAAAUACACACGUAGACACAAAAACAUUCCCUGAGUUUUCGUUCUGACUUCCUGAGGACAGUUGGUAUAGUUGUGUUUUUGGCCUGUUUCAUGUGUUGUAUAUUCCUUCAUUCGAUGCGGGAAUACUAGAAUAGACAUCUGAAAAAUGUGUUAAAUUCAAAAAGAAACAGACCAAUUUGUAUUCACUGUGAAGA
rnacentral:lncRNA from 1 species